UACGUAGGGUGCGAGCGUUGUCCGGAAUUAUUGGGCGUAAAGGGCUCGUAGGCGGUCUGUCACGUCGGGAGUGAAAACUCGGGGCUUAACUCCGAGCCUGCUUCUGAUACGGGCAGACUAGAGGUAUGCAGGGGAGAAUGGAAUUCCUGGUGUAGCGGUGAAAUGCGCAGAUAUCAGGAGGAACACCAGUGGCGAAGGCGGUUCUCUGGGCAUGACCUGACGCUGAGGAGCGAAAGUGUGGGGAGCGAACAGG
rnacentral:rRNA from 1 species